AUUAGAGUUGCCGGAGAUGUGUGCGCAACAAUGGAGUAAACUUGUGACAGAUCUGAGCAAAUGUAAACUAAAAGAGUUAGUCAUACUGUUGCUGGAGGAAUUCUUCUGCUGAUACAAAAGGCGUAUAUAUGCUCUUGUGCCCAGUGUCACUUUAUGGACAUACAAUACUGAAAUGACAUUAGGAAUCUUGAACUAUCAAAAUUACACAAGUAUAAAACUAUUAAUUGCACAUUGCAAGCUUGCACCUGCAAAAAACGAAGGAACUUUUGCUCAAAGUGUCUGAAGUUUCUUGCAUAAGUGUCCAACCAGCAUUGAUGGAUUCCAAUUGCCCUGAUAUGGAUUCUCCAUGACCGUAAUGUCCUGGUGAAACCUUUCACGAUGCUUAUUACUGACAGCAUGAAGAUUUGCAGGGAAAAAAUCUACACUGGAAUGCAGAAAAUGAAUCUUUAGUGACACGUUGUAGUUCAUGGUUUUGUAUCCUUGAAGCAUGUUGUCAAUCAGCUGCAUGUAAUUUGGUGCUUUGUAGUUGCCAAGAGUAUUUUCAACAACAUCCUUGAAUUCCUUCCAUGCAGUUUUCUCUGGUUCUUCAACUUGCCUGUCAUUUUUUGAUCUUUUUGAUUUGUGGACCAACAAAAAUGCCUUCCUUAAACUUGGCAUCAGUUAUUCUGGGAAACAUCUGUCUUAAAUAUCAAAAUCCUUCACGGAAAUUUAUAGCCUUUCUAAA